CCUACGGGCGGCAGCAGUGAGGAAUAUUGGUCAAUGGACGAGAGUCUGAACCAGCCAAGUAGCGUGAAGGAUGACUGCCCUAUGGGUUGUAAACUUCUUUUAUAUGGGAAUAAAACGUUCCACGUGUGGGAUUUUGUAUGUACCAUAUGAAUAAGGAUCGGCUAACUCCGUGCCAGCAGCCGCGUUAAUACGGAGGAUCCGAGCGUUAUCCGGAUUUAUUGGGUUUAAAGGGAGCGUAGGUGGAUUGUUAAGUCAGUUGUGAAAGUUUGCGGCUCAACCGUAAAAUUGCAGUUGAAACUGGCAGUCUUGAGUACAGUAGAGGUGGGCGGAAUUCGUGGUGUAGCGGUGAAAUGCUUAGAUAUCACGAAGAACUCCGAUUGCGAAGGCAGUUCACUGGACUGCAACUGACACUGAGGCUCGAAAGUGUGGGUAUCAAACAGGAUUAGAUACCCUGGUAGUC
rnacentral:rRNA from 1 species